AUUAGUGAAGGCAAAAACUGACAAAAGUGCAGCACUAAAGGUUAUACGAAAAGGAAUCACAAAAAGAAAAUGACAGGAGGAAAUAUUAAAUAUGAGAAAACCUGCUCUGAACAAACACGGAACUUGUUGCCCAAAUCUUAUCUAAAGAGAGUGACAUCAUUUCAGCAUCUGAGAGUGCAGCACAGAUGUUUAAGGAUCCAAGGAGCAGGAGUGAGGGAUAAACAAACCAACAUACUCCUAUCUGCAAGACUUCAAAAGGCAGCUGCAGAAACCUUGAAAUGCCCAUCUGUUCAGACCUCUGUUCUUCUACCAACACCUUUCUCACCAGCAGGAUCUGCCUCACAGUUUGCAGGGUUCAGUGCAAAGUGGAAGUCUGAAUUGCAACUGGCAUUAAAGAAGAGGACAUAUUUCCUACCUAAAAUGAGACGUGAUCUCCGAGGAGAAAGAUAUGCAUGA
ensembl:lncRNA